CCCAGGGUUGAGACCAUGCCCUGCAUCUUUUCUCUUCCCUAAUCUGCUCUGUCCGUGUCCACUCAGCCUGUCCUGACCUGGCAGAACUGCCCAAAAUUGCUGUGGAAUUUCCCUCAGUUUCCUCUUUCAGUCUGUGGAGUGUGGUUCAGCCUCUUGUUGAGCUCAUUGAUAGGAACAGGCUGUCUUUGACCUCCACCUCCAGAUCAGAGUCAAGGAACAUUUUCAUAAUGGAUACUUCAUCCAAAGAAAAUAUCCAGUUUUUCUGCAAAAAUUCAGUGCAACCUGUUGGAAGGCCUUCCUUCAAAACAAAAUAUCCCUCUUCAGAGGAAAAACAGUCAUGUUGUGGUGAACUAAAGGUGUUCUUGGGUGGCUUGUCCUUUGUUUUCUUUGCCAAAGCAUUGGCUGAAGGCUAUCUGAAGAGCACCAUCACUCAGAUAGAGAGAAGGUUUGAUAUUCCCUCCUCACUGGUAGGAGUCAUUGAUGGGAGUUUUGAAAUUGGAAAUCUCUUGGUUAUAACAUUUGUUAGCUACUUUGGAGCCAAACUUCACAGGCCAAAAAUAAUUGGAGCAGGGUGCCUGAUCAUGGGCGUAGGGACGCUGCUCAUCGCCAUGCCUCAGUUCUUCAUGGAGCGGUACAGGUAUGAGAAAUAUUCGCCUUUCUCCAAUUCUACUCUUAGCAUCUCUCCAUGUCUCCUAGAGUCAAGCAGUCAAUUACCAAUUUCAGUUAUGGCAAAAUCACAACCCCAAACAAGUGAUGAAUGUGACGUGGAUGCCAGCUCUUCCAUGUGGGUGUAUGUGUUCCUAGGAAAUCUUCUCCGUGGGUUAGGAGAAACUCCUAUCCAGCCACUGGGCAUUGCCUAUCUGGAUGACUUUGCUGGUGAAGAGAAUGCUGCUUUCUAUAUUGGGUGUGUGCAGACGGUUGCAAUUAUUGGACCAAUCUUUGGCUUCCUGUUAGGCUCAUUAUGCGCCAAAUUGUAUGUGGAUAUUGGCUUUGUAAACCUAGACCAUGUUACCAUUACCCCGAAGGACCCUCAGUGGGUAGGGGCCUGGUGGCUUGGUUACCUGAUAGCAGGAGUCAUAAGUCUUCUUGCAGCUGUGCCUUUCUGGUGUUUACCCAAGAGCCUAUCAAGACCCCAAAGUAGAGAAGACUCUAAUUCUUCAGAGAAAUCCAAGUUUAUUAUAGAUGAUCAUAUAAAAUACCAAACACAUGCUGAAGAAAAAGGAAAAAUAAUGGAAAUGGCAAGAGAUUUUCUUCCAUCACUGAGGAGUCUUUUUGGAAACCCCGUGUACCUCUUAUAUUUGUGUGCAAGCAUCGUUCAGUUCAAUUCUCUAUUUGGCAUGGUGACGUAUAAACCGAAGUACAUCGAGCAGCAGUAUGGGCAGUCAUCCUCGAAGGCCAACUUUGUCAUCGGACUCAUCAACAUACCAGCAGUGGCCCUUGGAGUAUUCUCUGGGGGAAUAGUCAUGAAAAAAUUCAGACUCAGCAUGUGUGGAGCUGCAAAACUCUACUUGGGAUCAUCUGUUUUUGGUUACCUCCUCUUCCUUUCCUUAUUUGCCUUGGGAUGUGAAAAUUCUGAUGUGGCAGGACUUACUGUCUCCUACCAAGGAACCAAACCUGUCUCUUAUCAUGAACGAGCUCUCUUUUCAGAUUGCAACUCAAGAUGUAAAUGUUCAGAGACGAAGUGGGAGCCGAUGUGUGGAGAAAAUGGAAUUACAUAUGCAUCAGCUUGUUUUGCUGGUUGUCACACCUCCAACAUGACUGGAAAGAACAUUACAUUUUAUAAUUGCACCUGUGUGGGGAUUAUAGCUUCUAAAUCAGGAAAUUUCUCAGGCACGGUGGGCAGAUGCCAAAAAGAUAAUGGAUGUUCCAAAAUGUUUCUGUAUUUCCUUGUAAUUUCAGUCAUCACGUCCUAUACUUUGUCCCUAGGUGGCAUACCUGGAUACAUAUUACUUCUGAGGUGCGUUAAACCACAACUUAAGUCUUUUGCCCUGGGUAUCUACACUUUAGCAAUAAGAGUUCUUGCAGGAAUCCCAGCUCCAGUAUAUUUUGGAGUUUUGAUUGACACUUCUUGUCUUAAAUGGGGAUUUAAAAGGUGUGGAACCAGAGGCUCAUGCAGAUUAUAUGAUUCACAUGCUUUCAGAUACAUAUAUCUGGGACUGACUAUGAUUUUGGGCACAAUGUCCAUUUUCCUAAGCACUGCGGUACUUUUGACUUUAAAGAAAAGUUAUGUUUCAGAACCUAGAACCUUCAUAACCAAAAGAGACAGAACAAUGGUUUCUACAAGAUUCAAGAAAGAGAACUGUCCUACAAGUGAUCAUUUGCUACAUCCCAUCUACUGGCCAGGCAAGGAAACGCGACUUUAGAAAGUGAUGACUAGAAGCCACAUUUUCUGAUGUGCUGAAAUUCUGCAAACGAAUAAAAUCAAAUCAAAAAGGGUUUUCGGAAGGGAGAGCAAUGGAUCGAGUGGUGAUGAGGCUGGGUGUCUUGCAUUUUGCUGUCCACCUGCCACCGAACACAGGGCCUGGUGAUUCCUGGACUGGAAGCUGCCAUUGGUACUGCCUGACAGACGAACUCUGUUUCUGCACAACUGGAAAAUUCAAUCCAGAUGUUUCUGCUGCCCUGGCUUCUUGUUUCCUUGGCUUCCUCUGACUAGGGUUAGCAGGGUCAGUUUUCCACCAUCUUUAAUCUUCAGGUCUAUUGAGUAGUAUAUUUUUAUUUGUCUACCAUAGGUUUAAAGACCAGUCUAAUCCAUCUCAGAAAAUUAGACUUAAGGUAGGGAACACCUAAUGAGACAUGUGAGGCAUACUAUUCAGUUACUGCCAGCUCUGUCCAUUGCUGUCUGCAUGCUUUAAUUCUUGCACAAUCAAUAGAAAAGACCAAGCGAAAGUGAAAGUUGGGCUAGGAAAGGAAGACUGAAUGAAAUUCCAGUGUCAGUGGAGUCCCAGCAAGCCUGGACUACAGAGGGGGAGGACCCUUGGGUACCAAAAAGAUUUUCAAGGUCAGAAAGGGAUCUAUCAUUUUAUCAUGUACCAGCUGCUCUAAAAAUUGUAUUAUUUAGUCUUUAUAGCAUUCUUGGUGACAGAAUCUUCACUUUACAAAUGAUUCAACUGAAACAAGAGAGAUUGAUUAUAUAAAUUACUAAUACUUAAAGAUGCAUAGCCAUAAUUAAACCCAGGUUUAAAUCUAAAAGCAUUUCCACCAUGUGAGCCUGACCCAAUAUAGCAAUACUAAGUAUGCUGUGAUGGCUCUGAACUCCUUUAUUUCACUACACCAGUUUGCUUUGGUAGUCAUCUAUGUAUUUCAAUACCAUGCAGAUAGUCAACAACUAUUAGGAACCACAGAAAUAAUUUACUUAGUAUAUUCUUUCUUCAAACAUUGUUGCCUUAAAUAUGAAAUACCAGAUUUGUAAUAGAUAAUUUAAAGCUUGUUAUUUAAAAUUAAGUCAGAUGAUCAAGAACAAUCCUUUAGAAUUGUGGAGACUGAUAAUAGCAAUACAAUUGCUAGUACCCUUUAGAACAAAUAAAACACAUAAACAGGACUCACUCAACAAAGGAGUCUGUUAGCCAUUUCUUGGAGCUUACGUUCAGCAAGAUGGUUCAGCUCAAAAAUGUAUUAACCUAGCUGAAUAGUAUAAACAAAAUAGUUUGCAGGCUUUUAAUUUUCCCUUAAUAUACCAGUUGAAAAUAUGAAUGGAAAAAUAUUCAAAGGGAGAAUUAGAGAAUGGAGAAACUAGGAAAUGUCCUUUAAAUAUAUAUUUACUUUGUCAUUUUGUUUGACUGGGUAUAAGUAAUUGUUUUAUAUUUUGCUCUUGCUGAAAAUGAAAACAGAUGAGUUUUUGUUUCUAGUGGGCCUA